ACUUCUAUUCCUAGCUCAUAGCCCUUCCCACAUCUUCAAAGUGCACCACGCCAAUCUCUACUUCCAUCAUCACACUUUCUUCUCUUUGUAGCCAAAAGUCCCUCCUCUAAGGAUGUGGGGGUGACAUUUAUGGCCUACCUGAAUAAUCCAGACGAUUUCCCAUCUCAACAUUCUUAAUUAUGUCUUCAAAGUCCUUCUCGUCAUAAACGGGACCUUAACUGGUGGUCCCAAGGAUUAGCACAUGGAUGGCUUGGGGCCACCAUUUACCCUCCCACGGAGCCUAAGUGUGCUUGCAACAUAUUCCUUAAAGAUCCAUUUAUGAAGUGGGUCAAGGCAUGUCCAUUUCGUAAAACAUGUGUCUGACUGAGAACCUCUUGUCUAGCAGAUAGCUUUCAGCCUACAGUGACCCUCCAUCUUAUUGUCUCUCAUGUUUUAUGUCAGAGUCUUAGAAUAGUGUUAUUACCCCGUGGCUGUGUAGCUGCUCCAUUGCUGAUUGGGCAUCUGUACACCAGUGCAUCAACAACCCCAUUGAAACCUCAAAAGCUUGCAAAGUAGGUUGUGUUUACAUUUCACAAAUGCUGAGAGAGGCUCAGAUUGUUACGUCUGCCCAAAGCCACACAGCCAGGAGAAUGUAGAUCAAGAACCCAAAUCCAGAUCCAUUCUAGAGCCCUGCACACCCUACCAAACUGCCUGAAGCUGCAGGACAGGAUACGGAGAAAAGUAAUUUUCAGGUGACUCCCCAGGUCGUGCAUAUCCAUUCCCAGCCCUGCCAUCAGAGCCACCCAACGAGUCUCAGAAUCCCACAGCCCUCUCUUUCCACUCCUGACACCUGUAUUGCUGAUCACUAUCCACGCGCAAGAUCACCAACACUGGUGUCAGUGAAGGAGCAGCCCUCUGGGAUAUGAGCUCAACUCUCUGCCCACACAGUUCCUCUCUGAUUAGGCUGCCUCCCCCAUACACUGUAGGAUACGUACUGUGGAAAGUUGAGAACACGACUUGAAUCAACUGCUUGAUGUACUUGUUCCAGGCUACCAUGGCAACAAGUGCUCAUCCCAGCUGCUGCUCCAGACAAGUUUAGUUUUCUGCCCUCAGAGUUCUGCUUUAGCAUUCCUGACAAGCCUGGCAGAACCGAGUCAUACUGGAGAGCAGCCUUAAGGUUCAGAUGUCCUUGAUUCCUGUGCAAACCGACAAACUUGGAGGUGAGAAGUUCCAGCUCUGUGAUCAUGGAUCUGUAAGUUCCAUCCUGGACAAGCUAUUGUGGGUUUAAAUGCUCUCAGUAAUAUGAGCACUGUGGGCAAAGUAUGUUUCCAGUGUGUGCGGCAUGGCUCAGUAGAGGGGGUAUUGGUUUCCUAUUGCUGCGUGACAGACACAAACCUAGUGACGUAAGACAUGGAUUAUCUUACACUUCGGGAGGUCAGAGGUCCAGAUUAAAACGAUGGCACUGUGGGCCUCCUGAAGACUCUAGAGGAAAGUCUGUUUCCUUGUUUGUUCCUCUGUCAGGGGCCACCUGUGAUCCUUGGUCUCUAGCCCUACGUCAUUCAGAAUUCUGCUGCCACUGACGCAUCUGCUCUAACUCCAGCCAUCCUGCCUCUGACUUAGAAGGACCUUGCCAUUUGGAUCACGUGGAAAGUCUCACGAUGUCAAGACCCCAAUCACACCUGCAGAGUCCAUGCUGCUAUUGGAAAGGUGAUGAUAUUGACAGGUUCCAGGGACUAAAACAUGGACAUGAGGAUUGAUUCUACAAACUUAUGAAAAGAAUCCAGACAAAACCAAAUGAAGUGUGUCAAAAGAAGGCAAAAGAAUCCAUCACAAAGUUAGAGACCUACUGUGUGUCACAAGAUGUCAACCACGUAGUCCUACUCUCUGCUUGAUUUCCAGGUAAAUAACAAAUCCUAGAGUUAUCACCGCACCCACUAAGGCAGCCCCAGCAGCCACUGCUUUUGAAGCAACAUCUCCAGUGAUCCCACGCCCUCUGGAGUCUACAACAUCUGGAAAGGAAGAAGACAUUCGAGUUGUAAGGUGGGGCAGGGCACGUCACGGAACACAGAGGGGAGUCCAGAAAGAGCCGGUUGCAGACUAAAGCACUGCAGUGGAAGUACACCUGGA